GAUGAACGCUGGCGGCGUGCCUAAUACAUGCAAGUCGAGCGAACGGACGAGAAGCUUGCUUCUCUGAUGUUAGCGGCGGACGGGUGAGUAACACGUGGAUAACCUACCUAUAAGACUGGGAUAACUUCGGGAAACCGGAGCUAAUACCGGAUAAUAUUUUGAACCGCAUGGUUCAAAAGUGAAAGACGGUCUUGCUGUCACUUAUAGAUGGAUCCGCGCUGCAUUAGCUAGUUGGUAAGGUAACGGCUUACCAAGGCAACGAUGCAUAGCCGACCUGAGAGGGUGAUCGGCCACACUGGAACUGGGACACGGUCCAGACUCCUACGGGAGGCAGCAGUAGGGAAUCCUCCGCAAAGGGCGAAAGCCUGACGGAGCAACGCCGCGUGAGUGAUGAAGGUCUUCGGAUCGUAAAACUCUGUUAUUAGGGAAGAACAUAUGUGUAAGUAACUGUGCACAUCUUGACGGUACCUAAUCAGAAAGCCACGGCUAACUACGUG
rnacentral:rRNA from 1 species